rnacentral:rRNA from 1 species
CAGGCCUAACACAUGCAAGUCGAGGGGUAACAGAGAAGCUUGCUUCUGCUGACGACCGGCGCACGGGUGCGUAACGCGUAUGCAACCUACCUCAUACUGGAGCAUAGCCCUUGGAAACGAGGAUUAAUACUCCAUGGUAUCAUUCUUUCGCAUGUUAGAAUGAUUAAAGAAUUUCGGUAUGAGAUGGGCAUGCGUCCCAUUAGCUAGUUGGUGAGGUAACGGCUCACCAAGGCAACGAUGGGUAGGGGGCCUGAGAGGGUGGUCCCCCACACUGGUACUGAGACACGGACCAGACUCCUACGGGAGGCAGCAGUGAGGAAUAUUGGUCAAUGGAGGCAACUCUGAACCAGCCAUGCCGCGUGAAGGAUGACGGCCCUAUGGGUUGUAAACUUCUUUUAUAUGGGAAGAAACUUAUCUACGUGUAGAUAACUGACGGUACCAUACGAAUAAGGAUCGGCUAACUCCGUGCCAGCAGCCGCGGUAAUACGGAGGAUCCAAGCGUUAUCCGGAUUCAUUGGGUUUAAAGGGUCCGUAGGCGGAUUUUUAAGUCAGUGGUGAAAGCCGACAGCUCAACUGUCGAACUGCCAUUGAUACUGGAAAUCUUGAGUACAAAUGAAGUAGGCGGAAUGAGUCAUGUAGCGGUGAAAUG